ACUCAAAUGAAUAGACGGGGGCCCGCACAAGCGGUGGAGCAUGUGGUUUAAUUCGAUGCAACGCGAAGAACCUUACCUACCCUUGACAUCCUCGGAAUCCUGCAGAGAUGUGGGAGUGCCUUCGGGAACCGAGAGACAGGUGCUGCAUGGCUGUCGUCAGCUCGUGUUGUGAGAUGUUGGGUUAAGUCCCGUAACGAGCGCAACCCCUGUCCCUAGUUGCCAACGAGUAAAGUCGGGAACUCUAGGGAGACUGCCGGUGACAAACCGGAGGAAGGUGGGGAUGACGUCAAGUCAUCAUGGCCUUUAUGGGUAGGGCCACACACGUGCUACAAUGGUCAGUACAAAGGGAAGCCAACCAGCGAUGGGGAGCAAAUCUCAUAAAACUGAUCGUAGUCCGGAUUGGAGUCUGCAACUCGACUCCAUGAAGUUGGAAUCGCUAGUAAUCGCGGAUCAGAACGCCGCGGUGAAUACGUUCCCGGGCCUUGUACACACCGCCCGU
rnacentral:rRNA from 1 species